AACGAACGCUGGCGGCAUGCCUAACACAUGCAAGUCGAACGAGACCUUCGGGUCUAGUGGCGCACGGGUGCGUAACGCGUGGGAACCUGCCCUUAGGUUCGGAAUAACUCCCCGAAAGGGGUGCUAAUACCGGAUAAUGUCUUCGGACCAAAGAUUUAUCGCCUUUGGAUGGGCCCGCGUUGGAUUAGCUAGUUGGUAGGGUAAAAGCCUACCAAGGCGACGAUCCAUAGCUGGUCUGAGAGGAUGAUCAGCCACACUGGGACUGAGACACGGCCCAGACUCCUACGGGAGGCAGCAGUGGGGAAUAUUGGACAAUGGGCGAAAGCCUGAUCCAGCGAUGCCGCGUGAGUGAUGAAGGCCUUAGGGUUGUAAAGCUCUUUUACCCGGGAUGAUAAUGACAGUACCGGGAGAAUAAGCUCCGGCUAACCCCGUG
rnacentral:rRNA from 1 species